GAGUUUGAUCGUGGCUCAGGAUGAACGCUGGCGGCGUGCCUAACACAUGCAAGUCGAACGGAGUUCUUAAGGAAUGCGGCUUCGGCCAAAUGACUUUUGAACUUAGUGGCGGACGGGUGAGUAACGCGUGAGCAACCGUGCCUUUCAGAGGGGGAUAACAUUUGGAAACAGAUGCUAAUACCGCAUAAGAUUACAGUACCGCAUGAUACAGUGAUCAAAGGAGCAAUCCGCUGAAAGAUGGGCUCGCGUCCGAUUAGAUAGUUGGUGAGGUAACGGCUCACCAAGUCGACGAUCGGUAGCCGGACUGAGAGGUUGAACGGCCACAUUGGGACUGAGACACGGCCCAGACUCCUACGGGAGGCAGCAGUGGGGAAUAUUGCACAAUGGGCGAAAGCCUGAUGCAGCAACGCCGCGUGA
rnacentral:rRNA from 1 species